rnacentral:rRNA from 1 species
UGGGGAAUAUUGCACAAUGGACGGAAGUUUGAUGCAGCGACGCCGCGUGGAGGGUGUAGGCCUUCGGGUUGUGAACUCCUUUUUCUCGCGAAAAAGGCACAGUUUUGGCUGUGUUGAUGGUAGUGGGGGAAGAAGCGCCGGCUCACUACGUGCCAGCAGCCGCGGUAAUACGUAGGGCGCGAGCGUUGUCCGGAUUUAUUGGGCGUAAAGAGCUCGUAGGUGGUUCGUCGCGUCUGUCGUGAAAGCCAGCAGCUUAACUGUUGGUCUGCAGUGGGUACGGGCGGGCUUGAGUGCGGUAGGGGUGACUGGAAUUCCUGGUGUAGCGGUGGAAUGCGCAGAUAUCAGGAGGAACACCGAUGGCGAAGGCAGGUCACUGGGCCGUUACUGACACUGAGGAGCGAAAGCGUGGGGAGCGAACAGG